GACGAACGCUGGCGGCGUGCUUAACACAUGCAAGUCGAGCGGUAAGGCUCCUUCGGGCGUACACGAGCGGCGAACGGGUGCGUAACACGUGAGUAAUCUGCCCUUCACUUCGGGAUAACCACCGGAAACGGUGGCUAAUACCGAAUACGACCAGUCUUCGCAUGAGGUGCUGGUGGAAAGUCUUUUCGGUGAAGGAUGUGCUCGCGGCCUAUCAGCUUGUUGGUGGGGUAAUGGCCUACCAAGGCUUCGACGGGUAGCCGGCCUGAGAGGGUGACCGGCCACACUGGGACUGAGACACGGCCCAGACUCCUACGGGAGGCAGCAGUGGGGAAUAUUGGACAAUGGGCGAAAGCCUGAUCCAGCAACGCCGCGUGAGGGAUGACGGCCUUCGGGUUGUAAACCUCUUUCAGUACCGACGAAGCGCCCUGUCGGGUGGUGACGGUAGGUACAGAAGAAGGACCGGCCAACUACGUG
rnacentral:rRNA from 1 species